GGAGAGGUCGCCGCUGGUUAAGGCACCGGUCGGUUCGCCGGCCGCGAUGGGUAACCAUCCGAGGGUUCAAAUCCCUUCCCUCUCCGCCA
rnacentral:tRNA from 1 species